AGGAAGCCUGCGGCCUAUCAGCUAGUUGGUAGGGUAACGGCCUACCAAGGCUAUGACGGGUAGCUGGAGUGAGAGCUUGGUCAGCCACACCGGGACUGAGACACUGCCCGGACUCCUACGGGAGGCUGCAGUCGAGAAUCUUUCUCAAUGAGCGAAAGCUUGAAGAUGCGACGCCGCGUGAAGGAUGAAGGCCUUCGGGUUGUAAACUUCUUUUGCAAAAGAAGAAAGCCUAAGUGCUAAUACCAUUUAGGUGUGACGUUAUUUUGUGAAUAAGCCACGGCUAACUCCGUGCCAGCAGCCGCGGUGAUACGGAGGUGGCGAGCGUUACUCGGAAUGACUGGGUGUAAAGGGUCCGCAGGUGGCCUAUUAUGUGGACGGUGAAAUCUUUCUGCUCAACGGAAAAAUUGCCGUUCAAACUGGUAGGCUAGAGGCUGAUAGAGGAGAGCGGAAUUGCCGGUGUAAGGGUGAAAUCUGUGGAUAUCGGCAGGAACGCCAGAGGCGAAAGCGGCUCUCUAGAUCGGUUCUGACACUCAUGGACGAAAGCUAGGGGAGCAAACAGGAUUAGAUACCCUGGUAGUCCUAGCCGUAAGA
rnacentral:rRNA from 1 species